AUAACGCCGCCUCCGCCGGCCCCGGGGGCUCCGCGCGCGCGCCCAAACCGCGUCCCGGAGACGCUCAGCCACAUGCGGAGCCGCGGCAUGAGCAAAGCCCCGCGGGGGCCCAGCCGCCGCCGCUGCCGCCUUCCCUGUGGGGCUUCUCCCGGGCCUGGUCGCUGCAGCUGCUGCUUCUUCUUGCCGCCGCCGGCGUGGCUGCCCGGAGCGCACGAGUCCCGCUGGCGCGCCGUGCGAGCGGUUGUGCGGAGGCGCUGGGCUCCUGGGCUGCUUCCCCCCUGCGCUUCGCCUUCUCCUCCCUCCGCCCCCGGAGGGGUGAGCUGAACUCUCCGCUCGCCGCCUUGCAGCUCGCCUCGCGGAAACCGCCCCCGGAAGGGUCAUCGUCGCCGUCCCGGCCAUUAGGCAGCACCCCUCGCCCACAGACGCGCCCCCCGACGCCCGCCCGCGCCCCUCGCGCAGAAUCUAGAUUUUAUUUCCAUUCGAUCAAGAAGGAAACUGCUAUUCAGCCUGAUGGCAAAUACCUUCAGAAGUGUGGCAGGGCGACGGCGACGUGGUCUUGUUCCCAGAAGAGAUUGGGUGACAUAUAUGCUUUGAUGCUGUGGCACAGCCCAGAGAUCUGAAAUGGAAAUCCUGCAAAAGCUCUAGAGUUCUGUUCUCAUUUUGCACCUGCACAGAUCCGAACUGCCUAAGGAGCACAUUACUGUGCCUCAUCUCAGACUGCUUGGACCAAACCCAACCGCCAUGUAAUUCCAUUGAAUUUAAGUGGAGUUAUGGCAGGCAAAAGCAAAACAACAACAACAAAACUGUUUGUCCCCGUGUCAGUUUCAGUUUAUUAGUUAAUUUUUCUAGUAGGGCUGUUUCCCAUACUAUUUGGUACCAUUGGUCCCUGCUUACUCCUGACAGGUCUCUCCAGUGUCUGGUUAUGGUAUUUCUGGCUGCUGAGAGCAGGUGGGUUAUGAGUUCUUUGUGGUGUAAAUGGGCAUUGUUGUCUUGGAAGAUGUUUAGUAGGGCCAAUUCUGGUAUGGCUCCCCUUUAUCACACACACAGCCCAACAGGACAAUGGCAAUAAUCCACCAACAGCAUACAAAUCAAUAUGGCUAACCUGAUCCAAAACACCCACCCACCUCACUCACACACGAAAACAAAGAUCACCACAGCCAAUCACAAGCAAACAAUCACACCCUAGGCCAACCCCAACCUCUCUCACCACCAAAGGAACACAAGUGAACAACACAAACAACGCUGACACCAAACUCUACACACAUUAAACAUAAUAGAAACACCGCCACCCGACCCCACCCCCAUCCACCUUCCCUCUCUCCACCCCCCCUUUUCUUCUCUCUUUCUUUUUUCUUCUCUCGCUAAUGCCUCAACAAAUGAAAUGGAUUUGUAAAAAUGUUACAUGAAAAAAACAACAACAAAAAAACGAGGCACUACACUUCUGUAAAACAAGAAAAUCCUUAAUAAAAUAUUAAAAAACAACAACAACAACAACAAAACUGGCCUUGCGGGUUUGUAAAUGAACUACAGUUGGCGGGGGGGGGGGAGUUAGAGGGUGUCGGUGAUAAGCAAGAGCAGUGGCGAAAGGAGCAUAUCUCCUAGUUAGUUUUGUACAGCUGACACUAACUCCAUUGUGAGAUAAGUCUUACCGACUGUGGGAAAAGCAGCGGGGAAAGACUCACACCAGCAUCCAACUAGUAUUUAAUGGAAAAAAACAGAUCUGGAAAUCUUGACAGUAUCUGCUCCCCUCUCUCCCAAUCCUCCUCCCCCCCCCCCGCCCUCCAUCCCUUCCAAAGAAGCAAUGAAAGUAACUUGUAAAGUAUCAUUUGCUUCAGUUCCUAGUCCAAACAUGCAUUUCCUCAACUGGCUUUAUUUUUUGGGGGGGAGGGUAUUACUUUCAGAGGAGAGAAGGUGGGUGGUUUGGGGGGGGGUGGCUUAAGUGGAUGUUUAUUUUCUGCCAGAGAACAGGAGCUGUUUCUCGGCAUCAUCAAAAAAAAAAGAUGAAUCAUUGUUUAAUUAAAAAAAGAUAUAUCAAGUAACCUCAAGAUAAGUUUUGGGAAUCUCGGUUAUAAAAGGGAACACCCAUGCAGUGCAAAUCCCAGUAGAAGAAUAGAUUGACUUUCUUAUAUCCUCCAACUCAAUGAGCAUUUUAGUGUUGGCUCUGGGGGUGGGUGGAGGGGGGGGAACCACCCACACAAGAGCAGCAGAUGGAAAGGAAAACAUUUCGCCGUCUUCUCUGCAGUGUAAGGAUAAAAUGUGCUGGAUAUAUAAAUGAAAAUUAAUCCCUUUCAAGUAAAUACCUGAAGGUUGGACACAUUUCCUUUGCCACUAGAGGUGUAUAUCAGAAGGGAAGACAAAACUGAGAAAACUUCUACAAAGGAUGGGGAACCUGUGGCACUUUCUGCAGUUCUUGGACUCCCAGAAGCCUCAGCCAUCGUGGGCGAUCAUGAUGGGAGUUGAAGACCAACAACAACAGCAGGACCA
ensembl:lncRNA